GAGACACCCUUAUGGGGCAGGACUUGCUUCAGUGGGGCUUUGGUGCUCACUGAGUCUGCCCCUUGAGCGUGUCGCU
rfam:Myotis davidii contig152227, whole genome shotgun sequence.